GGGAAUAGCUCAAUCGGUAGAGCGUCAGCUUCCCAAGCUGAAGGUCGCGAGCGCCUGCCUUACAAGCAGGAGGCCGGGGGUUCAAAUCCCUCACCGCCCA
rnacentral:tRNA from 1 species